rnacentral:rRNA from 1 species
AAAGAAACCAACCGGGAUUGCCUCAGUAACGGCGAGUGAAGCGGCAAGAGCUCAAAUUUGAAAUCUGGCCCCUCCGGGGUCCGAGUUGUAAUUUGCAGAGGAUGCUUCGGGAGCGGUCCCCGUCUAAGCGCCCUGGAACGGGCCGUCAUAGAGGGUGAGAAUCCCGUCUGGGAUGGGCGGCCGCGCCCGUGUGAAGCGCCUUCGACGAGUCGAGUUGUUUGGGAAUGCAGCUCUAAGUGGGUGGUAAAUUUCAUCUAAACCUAAAUACUGGCCGGAGACCGAUAGCGCACAAGUAGAGUGAUCGAAAGAUGAAAAGCACUUUGAAAAGAGAGUUAAACAGCACGUGAAAUUGUUGAAAGGGAAGCGUUGUCCACCAGACUCGCCCGGGGGGGUUCAGCCGGCACUCGUGCCGGUGUACUCUCCCCCGGGCGGGCCAGCAUCGGUUUGGGCGGCUGGUGAAAGGCCCCGGGAAUGUAACACCCUCCGGGGUGCCUUAUAGCCCGGGGUGUCAUGCGGCCAGCCUGGACCGAGGCCCGCGCUUCGGCGAGGAUGCUGGCGUAAUGGUGGUCAACGG